rnacentral:rRNA from 1 species
UAACCUGCUAAAUAGUUAGGCCAACGAUAGUUGGUCGUCGACUUCUUAGAGGGACUAUUGACUAUUAUUCAAUGGAAGUUUGAGGCAAUAACAGGUCUGUGAUGCCCUUAGAUGUUCUGGGCCGCACGCGCGCUACACUGAUCAAGUCAACGAGUUUACAACCUUGGCCGGAAGGUCUGGGUAAUCUUUUGAAACUUGAUCGUGCUGGGGAUAGUCCAUUGCAAUUAUUGGACUUCAACGAGGAAUUCCUAGUAAGCGGGAGUCAUCAGCUCGCGUUGAUUACGUCCCUGCCCUUUGUACACACCGCCCGUCGCUACUACCGAUUGAAUGGCU